rnacentral:ncRNA from 1 species
AAGUCCUACCUAGUAAAGUCUAGCCAACAACUAGUAGUGAGUCUUGGAGCGAAACUUGUAACAGUUAGUUUAAGCGUAGACAACGAGGAAAUAGGGUUAGUAUUGAGCCCCGAAAUUUUGUAGAAUACUAGAAAGACGACGUUUUAAUUGUAACGGAAGUCAACAUUUAAUUAUUCGUUAAGGCAAGAAUAAUUAGAUUUCUACGGGGUCAGAGACC